UACAGAGGGUGCGAGCGUUAAUCGGAAUUACUGGGCGUAAAGUGUGCGCAGGCGGCCGAGCAAGUCGAGUGUGAAAGCCCCGGGCUUAACUUGGGAAUUGCGCUCGAAACUACUUGGCUGGAGUGUGGCAGAGGAAGGUGGAAUUCCAGGUGUAGCGGUGAAAUGCGUAGAGAUCUGGAGGAACACCGAUGGCGAAGGCAGCCUUCUGGGCCAACACUGACGCUCAUGCACGAAAGCGUGGGGAGCAAACAGG
rnacentral:rRNA from 1 species